rnacentral:rRNA from 1 species
UGGGGAAUAUUGCACAAUGGGGGAAACCCUGAUGCAGCAACGCCGCGUGAGCGAAGAAGGCCUUCGGGUCGUAAAGCUCUGUCCUAAGGGAAGAAUAAUGACGGUACCUUAGGAGGAAGCCCCGGCUAACUACGUGCCAGCAGCCGCGGUAAUACGUAGGGGGCAAGCGUUAUCCGGAAUCACUGGGCGUAAAGGGUGCGUAGGCGGCUAAUCAAGCCAGGGGUGA